rnacentral:rRNA from 1 species
GACGAACGCUGGCGGCGUGCUUAACACAUGCAAGUCGAACGGAAAGACCCUGCUUUUGUGGGGUGCUCGAGUGGCGAACGGGUGAGUAACACGUGAGUAACCUGCCCUUGACUUUGGGAUAACUUCAGGAAACUGGGGCUAAUACCGGAUAGGAGCUCCUGCUGCAUGGUGGGGGUUGGAAAGUUUCGGCGGUUGGGGAUGGACUCGCGGCUUAUCAGCUUGUUGGUGGGGUAGUGGCUUACCAAGGCUUUGACGGGUAGCCGGCCUGAGAGGGUGACCGGCCACAUUGGGACUGAGAUACGGCCCAGACUCCUACGGGAGGCAGCAGUGGGGAAUAUUGCACAAUGGGCGGAAGCCUGAUGCAGCAACGCCGCGUGCGGGAUGACGGCCUUCGGGUUGUAAACCGCUUUCGCCUGUGACGAAGCGCGAGUGACGGUAAUGGGUAAAGAAGCACCGGCUAACUACGUG